GACGAACGCUGGCGGCGUGCUUAACACAUGCAAGUCGAACGAUGAAGCUGGAGCUUGCUCCGGUGGAUUAGUGGCGAACGGGUGAGUAACACGUGAGCAAUCUGCCCUUGACUCUGGGAUAACUGCGGGAAACUGUAGCUAAUACCAGAUACGAGGCUCGAAGGCAUCUUCGGGUCUGGAAAGAAUUUCGGUCAAGGAUGAGCUCGCGGCCUAUCAGCUUGUUGGUGAGGUAAUGGCUCACCUAGGCGACGACGGGUAGCCGGCCUGAGAGGGUGACCGGCCACACUGGGACUGAGACACGGCCCAGACUCCUACGGGAGGCAGCAGUGGGGAAUAUUGCACAAUGGGCGAAAGCCUGAUGCAGCAACGCCGCGUGAGGGAUGAAGGCCUUCGGGUUGUAAACCUCUUUUAGCAGGGAAGAAGCGGAAGUGACGGUACCUGCAGAAAAAGCACCGGCUAACUACGUGCCAGCCGCCGCCGUAA
rnacentral:rRNA from 1 species